rnacentral:rRNA from 1 species
GAUGAACGCUGGCGGCGUGCCUAAUACAUGCAAGUCGAGCGAACGGACGAGAAGCUUGCUUCUCUGAUGUUAGCGGCGGACGGGUGAGUAACACGUGGAUAACCUACCUAUAAGACUGGGAUAACUUCGGGAAACCGGAGCUAAUACCGGAUAAUAUUUUGAACCGCAUGGUUCAAAAGUGAAAGACGGUCUUGCUGUCACUUAUAGAUGGAUCCGCGCUGCAUUAGCUAGUUGGUAAGGUAACGGCUUACCAAGGCAACGAUGCAUAGCCGACCUGAGAGGGUGAUAGGACACACUGGAACUGAGACACGGUCCAGACUCCUAAGGGAGGCAGCAGUAGGGAAUCUUACGCAAUGGGCGAAAGCCUGACGGAGCAACGCCGCGUGAGUGAUGAAGGUCUUCGGAUCGUAAAACUCUGUUAUUAGGGAAGAACAUAUGUGUAAGUAACUGUGCACAUCUUGACGGUACCUAAUCAGAAAGCCACGGCUAACUACGUG